rnacentral:rRNA from 1 species
UUAAGACAGCAGGACGGUGGCCAUGGAAGUCGGAAUCCGCCAAGGAGUGUGUAACAACUCACCUGCCGAAGUUACUAGCCCUGAAAAUGGAUGGCGCUGAAGCGUCGUGCUUAUACUCGGCCGUCAGCGGCAUGUGCGGUCGUCUUGUACGGCCAUGAAGCCCUGAUGAGUAGGAGGGUCGCGGAGGUGAGCGCAGAAGGGCUGGCCGUGGGGCCGUCUGGAGCCGCCUUCGGUGCAGAUCUUGGUGGUAGUAGCAAAUACUCCAGCGAGGCCCUGGAGAGCUGAGGUGGAGAAGGGUUUCGUGUGAACAGCCGUUGCACACGAGUCAGUCGAUCCUAAGCCCUAGGCGAAAGCCGAUGUUGAUGUGGCGUUGUUAAUCGUGCUGUGCUUGUAUAGCUCGUUAUGCACGCCCGUCGGGCGAAAGGGAAUCCGGUUCCUAUUCCGGAACCCGGCUGCGUAACCGUCAUUAAAUCGGGCCCUCAUCUGAGAGUUCGUCGGGGCAACCCAAAAGGACCCGGAGACGCCGUCGAGAGAUCCGGGAAGAGUUUUCUUUUCUGCAUGAGCGUUCGAGUUCCAUGGAAUCCUCUAGCAGGGAGAUAUGGUUUGGAACGCGAAGAGCACCGCAGUUGCGGCGGUGUCCGGAUCUUCUCCUCGGACCUUGAAAAUCCGGGAGAGGGCCACGUGUAGACGUCGCGCCGGCUCGUACCCAUAUCCGCAGC